rnacentral:rRNA from 1 species
UACGUAGGGCGCAAGCGUUGUCCGGAAUUAUUGGGCGUAAAGAGCUCGUAGGCGGCUUGUCACGUCGGGUGUGAAAGCCCGGGGCUUAACCCCGGGUCUGCAUUCGAUACGGGCUAGCUAGAGUGUGGUAGGGGAGAUCGGAAUUCCUGGUGUAGCGGUGAAAUGCGCAGAUAUCAGGAGGAACACCAACGGCGAAGGCAGCACUCUGGGCCGGAACUGACGCUGAGGAGCGAAAGCGUGGGUAGCGAACAGG